UCGACACGAUUACUGCUGAGUUGAUUCAAGUCCCUUUGCUCUUUCACCAAAAGUAAACUGAGGUAAAACAUGGCUCGCUGGGUUAUCAAGUGUCUCUUCCUUGCUGCAUUAUUGUCCAUCACUCUGGGUGCCAAGCUCGUUUCAGACAGCAAGGAGAACGAAUCCAAAGACAAGCGUGUGACUGUCACCAACAACAAUAACAAUAACAACAACAAUAACAACAACAAUAACAACAAUAACAACAACAAUAACAACAACAACAACAACAACUGGCAGGCGAAUCAAAUAAACGGGCCUCUUCUUCAGUUUCAGUGCCCGAGAGGACAGUCUGUCUCUCAGAUUUGGAUCGACCCAAGUGGAAAAUGGAACGUUCUGUGCACCCCGAGCCAGGCUACCUGUAACCGUUAUUGCGUCUGGUAUUUCCAAAAUUGCCACCUGACGACCACACCGAUCGGAUAAAGAACCAGUGUUAUCAGCAAAACCGCACACAAGUAGUUUAGAAGCUAUGUGGGUAGACUUGAUUAUGUAGAAAGUUAGAGGCAAACCAGAGGAUGUCUGAAUCCGCUUAGAUUACUGAGUAUAUACCCGGGAGUAUAGUGCGGGUUCGUGGUUUCCUGUCUUAAUUAUAGGCACAAAUGCUUUGAUUCAACGCGUAAAUUCAAUGUGACAGGGUAGAUGUGAUUUUAAAGAUCCUUAGUUAUAUCCUCACCUGUUGUAAGUUAGAGGGAAAGUUAAAGUAACUAAAAGGGAAAUGUUAUAGUCAGUUAAAGGGAAAGCACUACAUGGCUGGUAGUUAAUUUUACGGCAUAAUUAGC
rnacentral:misc_RNA from 1 species